GACGAACGCUGGCGGCGUGCUUAACACAUGCACGUCGAACGAAGUGGCGAACGGGUGAGUAAUACGUGAGUAACCUGCCCUCCUUUUUGGGAUCAGCCUUGGAAACGGGGACUAAACCCGAAUAAAGGGGGCUGGGCCCGCGGCCUAUCAGCUUGUUGGUGGGGUGAUGGCCUAACAGGGCGGUGACGGGUAGCCGGCCUGAGAGGGUGACAGGGCACAUUGGGACGGAGAACAGUCCCAGACUCCUACGGGAGGCAGCAGUGGGGGAUAUUGCACAAUGGGCGAAAGCCUGAUGCAGCGAAGCCGCGUGAGUGAAGAAGGUUUUCGGAUCGUAAAGCUCUGUUGUUAGAGAAGCGGUAACUAACCAGAAAGGGACGGCUAACUACGUGCCAGCCGCCGCGGUAAUAC
rnacentral:rRNA from 1 species